rnacentral:rRNA from 1 species
UACGAAGGGGGCGAGCGUUGUUCGGAUUUACUGGGCGUAAAGGGCGCGUAGGCGGCCGCUCAAGUCAGGCGUGAAAGCCCCGGGCUCAACCUGGGAGGUGCGCUUGGGACUGGGUGGCUGGAGUUCGGGAGAGGAGCGUAGAAUUCCCAGUGUAGAGGUGAAAUUCGUAGAUAUUGGGAAGAACACCGGUGGCGAAGGCGGCGCUCUGGACCGAGACUGACGCUGAGGCGCGAAAGCGUGGGGAGCAAACAGG